UGCUGAAAACGGUCGAUAGGCCGGGGAGAGACGUGUGGGGCAAGCGGUUGCAGGAGUGACUGAGGGGAAAGGGAGCGUGGGCGGACGGGGAAGGGUGAUUGGAAGGGCGGGGGCGCAACCCCUGGACUGCAGUGGAAACUGUUAGUCUUGAGUGCCGGAGAGGUAAGCGAAAUUCCUAGUGUAGCGGGGAAAUGCGUAGAUAUUAGGAUGAACACCAGUGGCGAAGGCGGCUUACUGGACGGUAACUGACGUUGAGGCUCGAAAGCGUGGGGAGCAAACAGGAUUAGAUACCCUAGUAGC
rnacentral:rRNA from 1 species